rnacentral:misc_RNA from 1 species
GAAAAAUUGAAAAAAAAAAAAUCAUAAAGAGCUAUGAUGCAUUUGUGCAACUUAGCAUUAACAACUGAAACAUUGCAAUAAUAUUCACAAAGUUCACAGAUGCUGAAUGUUGGAAACGUAACUUCCAGCACAAAGAACUUUCCAUUACACAUACCAAAGUCUCAUCUGGUGACAAUAAUUUGCAUGACAAAGAAACAGAAAAACUCCCAUAGCCACCACUUCUAUUUAUAUCGGCUAUGCACAGAAGCAACUUGACAAAAGUUCUCUACAAAAUGCAGCUUAUUUAUCAAUCUGUUUCAUGGUCAGGAGUAGGAGAGUACCAAGCAGGAAAUCUUCCUUUAGUUCGAAGCAAUCUAGUAAAUGGCGAAUCUGGCAUUCUAGCUCUCUCUUCUUCUUCUAGCUCUUCCUUAGAUUUUGGCAAUCCAUCAGGUAUUGGACAUGUUCUGUCUCUUUCUUUCUCCACAGUAAUUGGUGCCAUGAAACCAAAACCAUUCUUCCUUCCUUUGUGCAUUGAGGAAAUUCCAUGUAAACAUCCAAUCAAGGAUUUCACUCCACCUGCUUGAAGAAUUAGCUUCUCUACAUCCUCUUUCGGUGACUCUCUUUCCAAAUCUUUCAGCUCAAAAUACGCUCUCCAGCAGCUAUAAGAACCAUCUCCUUCAAGCGUCGAACAAUAAUCGGCGAGUUCAUUCCCGGACUUUUCGAUCAACGGCGGUUCCUUGACAGCUCUUUCAAGCCUGGUUCGACUAAACGGCUCAAGCUGAGGAACAUAAGCACUGCUCCUUGAGGAAGAAGAGGAGGAAGAAGAAGAACAAGUGAUGGUUGAACCAUGUCUCCUGCGGGAAGCGUCUGAACGAUGGAAAUCCUUAGCUUCGACAAGCAAGGGAGAAGAACAGGAACGAACAAGAACAGACUUUAUCAUCUCAUCCAAAUCGAUAAAUGAUAAUUCUAAAUUUG